rnacentral:rRNA from 1 species
AUUGAACGCUGGCGGCAGGCUUAACACAUGCAAGUCGAGCGAGCGGCGGACGGGUGAGUAAUGUCUGGGAAAAUGCCUGAUGGAGGGGGAUAACUACUGGAAACGGUAGCUAAUACCGCAUACCCUCAGAUGUGCCCAGAUGGGAUUAGCUAGUAGGUGGGGUAAUGGCUCACCUAGGCGACGAUCCCUAGCUGGGCUGAGAGGAUGACCAGCCACACUGGAACUGAGAAACGGGCCAGACUCCUACGGGAGGCAGCAGUUGGGAAUAUUGCGCAAUGGGGGCAACCCUGACGCAGCCAUGCCGCGUGAAUGAAGAAGGCCUUCGGGUUGUAAAGUUCUUUCGGUAGCGAGGCGUUAACUACAGAAGAAGCAACGGCUAACUCCGUGCCAGCAGCCGCGGUAAUAC